rnacentral:rRNA from 1 species
GACGAACGCUGGCGGCGUGCUUAACACAUGCAAGUCGAACGCUGAAGCCUAGCUUGCUGGGUGGACGAGUGGCGAACGGGUGAGUAACACGUGAGUAACCUGCCCUCUUCUUUGGGAUAACGCCCGGAAACGGGUGCUAAUACUGGAUAUUCACUGGCCUUCGCAUGGGGGUUGGUGGAAAGGUUUUUUCUGGUGGGGGAUGGGCUCGCGGCCUAUCAGCUUGUUGGUGGGGUGAUGGCCUACCAAGGCUUUGACGGGUAGCCGGCCUGAGAGGGUGACCGGUCUCAUUGGUACUGAUAUACGGCCCAGACUCCUACUGGAGGCAGCAUUGUUGAAUAUUGCACUGUGGGCUAAAGCCUGAUGCAGCGACGCCGCGUGGAGGGAUGGAGGCCUUCGGGUUGUAAACCUCUUUCCCUCUUGGCCUGGCCGCAACACUUGGUUUGGGGUGAGGGUAUGGGGUUAUGUAGUCGCCGGUGCUGUCAUGUGUGUGGUCACUUUAUUUUUGGUGUGUGGUUCUGUUUUCCUGGUGUGUGGGGUUGGUUGGUGUUUGAUUCUAUGUUAUGUGCUGGCUUUGGUGUGUGGGUGGUGUGUGGUGGGUGUGGGGUUGUGGUUUGGGUUAUCUUUGUCUGUGGUGUGUGUUGUGUGUGUUGGUUGUUUUGUGUGUGUUGUGUGCUUGUGUCCUCGCUCUUUGCUGCUGAUGUGGUUGUGUGUGUGUGUGUGGGUGUGGUGACUGUCGUGUGUGCGUUGGCCGUGAUGAUGGUUGUUUGUGUUGUCGUUUGUGGUGUGUGGUCUUGUGUUGUGGUUGAAAAUGUAAAAAACUAUGUGAAUAUUAUUUUGUAUUGUUCCUGCAUAAUUUGUAGUUGAAUAGUACUGUUUAGCACAUGUUUGUAGUCAUAUGUUUGC